GGGCUCGUAGUUCAAUGGAUAGAACAUCGGUUUCCGAUACCGACGGUGUGGGUUCGAUUCCCGCCGGGCCUA
rnacentral:tRNA from 1 species